rnacentral:rRNA from 1 species
GACGAACGCUGGCGGCGUGCUUAACACAUGCAAGUCGAACGGAAAGGCCCUGAUUUUGUGGGGUGCUCGAGUGGCGAACGGGUGAGUAAAACGUGAGUAAACUGCCCUUGACUUUGGGAUAACUUCAGGAAACUGGGGAUAAUACCGGAUAGGAGAUCUUGCACCAUGGUGGGGGUUGGUAAGUUUCGGCGGUUGUGGAUGGACUAGCGGCUUAUCAGCUUGUUGGUGGGGUAGUGGCUUACCAAGGCUUUGAAGGGUAGCCGGCCUUAGAGGGUGACCGGCCACAUUGGGACUGAGAGACGGCCCAGUCGCCUACGGGAGGCAGCAGUGGGGAAUAUUGCACAAUGGGCGGAAGCCUGAUGCAGCAACGCCGCGUGCGGGAUGACGGCCUUCGGGUUGUAAACCGCUUUCGCCUGUGACGAAGCGUGAGUGACGGUAAUGGGAAAAGAAGCACCGGCUAACUACGUG